CCUUCAUCAUCCUCCAACAAGAUCCGUCCUGAGUCAGAGUCUUUCACAACUGCCCCAAUAGGGACAUUAAAUUCACUGUUUGUCUGAGUCUCCAGCCACACAUGAUCACCCUGUAGGGGAAGAAAAGUCAUUGUCAGGUUCAGUUUAGCUGCAAUGUGUGAUGGGAAAGAUAAGAAAAAGCCUCUGUGUCUGAGAUUCUUGGGGUUCCAGCUGUAGUUCCAUAGCGAAAUUGGAGGUCAUAGAAAAUGACAGGUAUUUCUAUAGACUGGGAGAAGAAGAACUUGAGAGCAGCCCUGCGGAGAAGGAUUUGGGGGUCCUGCGGGAGGAGAAGCUGGACAUGAGCCAGCAGUGCAUGCUUGCAGCCUGGAAGGCAAACUAUGUCCUGGGCUGCAUUAAAAAAGGGGUGGCCAGCAGGGAGAGGGAAGUGAUUGUUCCCCUCUACUCUGCUCUUGUGAGACUCCACCUGGAACACUGCGUGCAGGCCUGGGCCCCCAGCACAAGAAGGAUGUGGAGCUCUUGGAACGGGUCCAGAGGAGGCCCACUAAAAUGAUCAGGGGGCUGGAGCACCUCUCCUAUGA